AACGAACGCUGGCGGCGUGGAUUAGGCAUGCAAGUCGAACGAUCCGCUGAAACCCGUAAGGGCGUAAGUGGAUAGUGGCGCAAGGGUGAGUAACACAUGGGUAAUUUGCCUUCGAAUUUGGGAUAACCUGUCGAAAGACGGGUUAAUACCGGAAAGACUACAGUUCGCAUGGACAGUAGUAAAAGGCGGCCUCUUUUAAAUGCUGUCGUUUGAAGAGAAGCCCGUGUUCUAUUAGCUAGUUGGUGGGGUAACGGCCUACCAAGGUGAUGAUGGAUAGCUGGUCUGAGAGGAUGGUCAGCCACACUGGGACUGAGACACUGCCCAGACUCCUACGGGAGGCUGCAGUCGAGAAUCUUUCGCAAUGGGGGAAACCCUGACGAAGCGACGCCGCGUGAGCGAUGAAGGUCUUCGGAUUGUAAAGCUCUGUCACUUGGGACGAAAUUUAAUUCUGCUAAUACCAGUAUUAAUUGACGGUACCGAGAGAGGAAGCCACGGCUAACUCCGUGCCAGCAGCCGCGGUAAUACGGAGGUGGCUAGCGUUGUUCGGAUUUAUUGGGCGUAAAGAGUGUGUAGGCGUUUUGUCAGGUCGUAUGUGAAAGCCUUUGGCUUAACCAAAGAACUGCAUGCGAAACCGACAGAAUUGAGUACAAGAGAGGAGAACGGAAUUCCCGGUGUAGAGGUGAAAUUCGUAGAUAUCGGGAAGAACACCGGUGGCGAAGGCGGUUCUCUGGCUUGAUACUGACGCUGAGACACGAAAGCUAGGGGAGCAAACAGGAUUAGAUACCCUGGUAGUCCUAGCCGUAAACGAUGGGCACUAGGUGUAGAUCCUUUGGGGUCUGUGCUGCAGCUAACGCAUUAAGUGCCCCGCCUGGGGAGACGAUCGCAAGAUU
rnacentral:rRNA from 1 species